CAGCUAUGAGAACAUAAAUAAAGGAUAUAAUUUUUGUUAUGAGACUUAGUAAUGUUUUAGAACAUCUGUACCAGUGCAACACAGGGAGGAUCGAGGUGGCUAACAGAAGAAUCAAAACUCAAGAAAAUUAUACACAACCACAAAAGCUAAGUGAGCAGCAAUUUACGUUGAACACCGCCGCCCCAUUUCUCGUUCGGACUCCGGUAUUUCAGAUGGUCACAUACCACGAGGCGGUAACUAGCAUUCCGGUGUGAUAAUGGACGAUUCGGAGGAACGGACGCCACAACUCAACCAGGAAGAAGUUACUGUGCAGAUAGAAGACUGCUACAGGCGGUGUAAAAAGCGGACGCACGAGUACGUCCAGAGGGCAGAAAAUCUAGAAGAUGCUGCCGCAAAUUUUGAAAGGAAUCCAUCGCGACGUGAGUCCCCGUGUUGUAAACGGUGCUGCACUAUCUUAUAAACUGUAUAAAAGUAUGAG